AGGAUGGGGACAACAGACGGAAACGACUGCUAAUACCGAAUAAGUUCCAAGAGCCGCAUGGCCCAUGGAAGAAAAGGUGGCCUCUACCUGUAAGCUAUCGCCUGAAGAGGGGUUUGCGUCUGAUUAGCUGGUUGGAGGGGUAACGGCCCACCAAGGCGACGAUCAGUAGCCGGUCUGAGAGGAUGAACGGCCACACUGGAACUGAGACACGGUCCAGACUCCUACGGGAGGCAGCAUG
rnacentral:rRNA from 1 species